rnacentral:rRNA from 1 species
UACGGAAGGCAGCAGUGGGGAAUAUUGCACAAUGGGCGAAAGCCUGAUGCAGCUAUGCCGCGUGUAUGAAGAAGGCCUUAGGGUUGUAAAGUACUUUCAUCGGGGAGGAAAAACAAAACUAAUAAUUUUAUUUCUUGACGUUACCCGAAAAAGAAGCACCGGCUAACUCCGUGCCAGCAGCCGCGGUAAUACGGAGGGUGCUAGCGUUAAUCAGAAUUACUGGGCGUAAAGAGCACGUAGGUGGUUUUUUAAGUCAGAUGUGAAAUCCCUGGGCUUAACCUAGGAACUGCAUUUUGAAACUGAAAUACUAGAGUAUCGUAGAGGGAGGUAGAAUUCUAGGUGUAGCGGUGAAAUGCGUAGAUAUCUGGAGGAAUACCUGUGGCGAAAGCGGCCUCCUAAACGAAUACUGACACUGAGGUGCGAAAGCGUGGGGAGCAAACGAGGUAUUAGACUACC